GCAUUCCAAAAUAGAUGAUGGAGUAGUGCAUUGCUAUCUGGGUGAGAGGGAACCUGGGCUUGCUCUCUGGGAAUGUUGUGGGGCACCAUAAAGCUGUAGCUGAAGCCACACUUGCAAGCAGGUGACCUGGAUGGCCUCCAGUUUGACCUGUGGAGCAGACAGCAUCUAAGAGCUGGGAAGUUUCACUGGGAACUGGAGAUGGUCCUGCCUUUGGAACCCUGGCUGUGAUGCGCAGGAAAGACUGUUCUACAGCUCAGCCUGGGAAGUGGAAGAGGUCUGGAGCUGGUGCCCUGAAUCUGACUACAAGAGUGGAGAAGGGGGAGGGAUUGCUCUCCCCAGUGAGACAAUUCCAGGUCCUUGUGCUUGUUGGAAAUGAUAGGAAACCAAGGGAGUUGUGCUUUCAGCUGCGCUUUGUGCAUGGGGCAGAAGCCAGUGCCCUUGGCAGGCUUCUCCACAGCGCCUUGUGAGCCAGAAUCCCCAUGCAGACGUUAAGUGGAAGAGUCUCAAUGUAACAUCAUUAGAUUUUGUUUGUUGUUUGUUUUUUGUCCUUCAUUGUACAGUUCAAAUCAACUGAGGAAAUGAAUGUACUUGGUCUAAAAAAAAUUCUGUGUUUCUCCCAAUUUUUAUGAAUGCGUAUAACAAGAAUCUUUGGAAAAGCUGCAUGUUAAUGCGUAAGUGGUUAAGUUACAGUUAAGGAUUUGAUUUAAACCAACAAAUUCAAGGAUUUCCAAGAAAACCGAAAAUCUGUCUUUUCAUCCAAAUUUUAAGUAUGUUGUGUAUGUAAAAUCCCCUCUUCUUAUGACUGUUUUCAUGGACAUGCUUUUUUUCAUUUUAUCAGUGGAAGAGCUUCAGUUUUUUUCUGUACUACAUUAAAGCAGAUGCAGAGCAACUAA